UCAACGCCUGAUGUGGUGUGUUUCCUUAA
rnacentral:piRNA from 1 species